UACGAAGGGGGCUAGCGUUGUUCGGAAUUACUGGGCGUAAAGCGCGCGUAGGCGGUUUAUCAAGUUGGAAGUGAAAGCCCAAGGCUUAACCUUGGAAUUGCUUUCAAAACUAGUAGACUAGAGAAUGGUAGAGGAUGGUGGAAUUCCUAGUGUAGAGGUGAAAUUCUUAGAUAUUAGGAGGAACAUCGGAGGCGAAAGCGGCCAUCUGGACCAUUUCUGACGCUGAGGUGCGAAAGCGUGGGGAGCAAACAGG
rnacentral:rRNA from 1 species